GGUCGGUUCGGCCGGGUUUCACACAGGUGUUGCAUGGCUGUCGUCAGCUCGUGUCGUGAGAUGUUGGGUUAAGUCCCGCAACGAGCGCAACCCUCAUCCUUAGUUACCAUCAGGUAAUGCUGGGGACUUUAAGGAAACUGCCAGUGAUAAACUGGAGGAAGGUGGGGAUGAUGUCAAGUCAUCAUGGCCCUUAUGGAGUGGGCUACACACGUGCUACAAUGGUGGCUACAAUGGGCUGCAAAGUCGCGAGGCUAAGCUAAUCCCUUAAAAGCCAUCUCAGUUCGAAUUGUACUCUGCAACUCGAGUGCAUGAAGUUGGAAUCGCUAGUAAUCGUGGAUCAGCACGCCACGGUGAAUACGUUCUCGGGUCUUGUACACACUGCCCGUCACGACCAUGG
rnacentral:rRNA from 1 species